GACGAACGCUGGCGGCGUGCCUAAUACAUGCAAGUAGAACGCUGAAGGAGGAGCUUGCUCUUCUGGAUGAGUUGCGAACGGGUGAGUAACGCGUAGGUAACCUGCCUGGUAGCGGGGGAUAACUAUUGGAAACGAUAGCUAAUACCGCAUAACAGUAGAUGUUGCAUGACAUUUGCUUAAAAGGUGCAAUUGCACCACUACCAGAUGGACCUGCGUUGUAUUAGCUAGUUGGUGGGGUAACGGCUCACCAAGGCGACGAUACAUAGCCGACCUGAGAGGGUGAUCGGCCACACUGGGACUGAGACACGGCCCAGACUCCUACGGGAGGCAGCUGUAGGGAAUCUUCGGCAAUGGACGGAAGUCUGACCGAGCAACGCCGCGUGAGUGAAGAAGGUUUUCGGAUCGUAAAGCUCUGUUGUAAGAGAAGAACGAGUGUGAGAGUGGAAAGUUCACACUGUGACGGUAUCUUACCAGAAAGGGACGGCUAACUACGUG
rnacentral:rRNA from 1 species